AAGUCGUAACAAGGUUUCCGUAGGUGAACCUGCGGAAGGAUCAUUGACGAAAGGAAGGAUAAGGAAGAGUGAAUAGCCUGUGUGGGGGGUGGAGUGUGGGGAGUGGUAUAUAUUAUAUUAUACUACUAUCUCUUUCUCUCCUCCUCCUUGAAGGUGAAAGAAAUAAUAUAUAAUGGAAAAAAAAAUAUAAAAUACAACUUUUAACAAUGGAUCUCUUGGCUCUU
rnacentral:misc_RNA from 1 species